GUGCUCGCUUCAGCAGCACNUNUACUAAAAUUGGAAUGAUACGUAGAAGAUUAGCAUGGCCCCUGUGCAAGGAUGACACGCAAAUUUGUGAAGCGUUCCAUAUUUUA
rnacentral:snRNA from 1 species